rnacentral:rRNA from 1 species
GACAGAGGCCUCAAGCCGUUAGGUACGGGAAUCACUGGGCUUAAAGCGUGUGUAGGCGGAUCGUUAAGUGUCUUGUGAAAUCCCACGGCUCACCCGUGGAACUGCUGGGGCAUACUGGCGAUCUUGGGCCAACUAGGGGCAAACUGGAACAAGCGGUGGAGCGGUGAAAUGCGUAGAUAUCGCUUGGAACGCCAAAGGUGAAAA